CCUACGGGAGGCUGCAGUAGGGAAUAUUGCUCAAUGGGGGAAACCCUGAAGCAGCAACGCCGCGUGGAGGAUGAAGGUUUUCGGAUUGUAAACUCCUUUUGUUAGAGAAGAUAAUGACGGUAUCUAACGAAUAAGCACCGGCUAACCCCGUGCCAGUAGCCGCGGUAAUACGGAGGGUGCAAGCGUUACUCGGAAUCACUGGGCGUAAGGAGCGCGUAGGCGGGAUAGCAAGUCAGAUGUGAAAUCCUAUGGCUUAACCAUAGAACUGCAUUUGAAACUGUUAUUCUAGAGUAUCGGAGAGGUAGGUGGAAUUCUUGGUGUAGGGGUAAAAUGCGUAGAGAUCAAGAGGAAUACUCAUGGCGAAGGCGACCUGCUAGACCAUAACUGACGCUGAUGCGCGAAAGCGUGGGGAGCAAACAGGAUUAGAUACCCGAGUAGUC
rnacentral:rRNA from 1 species